UUGUUUUGGUAUGGGUGGAGAAGCUUGGUGCACUAACAUGUUCAAUGUAUCUGGUGUGAGAAAGGACAAGAUCAUGUUUGCGAACAGGUCUGUAAGGUACAACUUUGGGGCUGACUCCAUUUUAGCUGUCAACAUCUUCAGAGGACUCAAUGGAAGAUUGGAUGGGACUUUCCAGAGCAUUACAGUCAUCAGUAAGGAAUGCCAAGUCCUGGAGAAACAAGAGAGAUGGCUGAUGUUAUAAGAAGGAAGACAGAGGAUAGUGCACAUUGGCUGCUUCUCCCGUGCAGAAGGAAGAAGGCAGUGUGAAAACUUACGUGAAUGUCCAAGUACAGCCUGGGCAGCGUCUCUACACAUGAGUCCUGCAGAAAAGAAGAAAGAUCAGUAGCAAUUUUAUUUUGAGAGCUACUUGUAUCAAAAGCAAGCAACCUGCAAUGUCUUUGUAGGAGUUUUUAGGCUGACUAACCUUAGCCUUGGAGGUCUGCAGCUCCUUGAAGGACUCAGUGAUUUCUUUGCUCAGAGAUAACACCCUGGAGUAGCAAGUUGGAGGGGCUGCUCUGGCUAGCAGGGCUGCAGAGAGCAGA